GCCGGGCGUGGUGGCGCGCGCCUGUAGUCCCAGCUACUUGGGAGGCUGAGGCUGGAGGAGGAUCGAUUGAGCCCAGGAGUUCUGGGCUGCACUGCGGGUGUCCGCACUAAGUUCGGCAUCAAUAUGGUGACCUCCCGGGAGUGGGGCACCACCAGGUUGCCUAAGGAGGGGUGAACUGGCCCAGGUUGGAAACAGAAACAGAGAGAAAUUGACAGGGGAGAGGAGAGAGGUAGAAAGAAGGAGAGACACAGGCAACACUGCUUCACUACUCAU
rnacentral:SRP_RNA from 1 species